rnacentral:rRNA from 1 species
UACGUAGGGUGCAAGCGUUGUCCGGAAUUAUUGGGCGUAAAGAGCUCGUAGGCGGUCUGUCGCGUCGGAUGUGAAACCUCGGGGCUCAACCCCGAGCCUGCAUUCGAUACGGGCAGACUAGAGUUCGGUAGGGGAGACUGGAAUUCCUGGUGUAGCGGUGAAAUGCGCAGAUAUCAGGAGGAACACCGGUGGCGAAGGCGGGUCUCUGGGCCGAUACUGACGCUGAGGAGCGAAAGCCAGGGGAGCGAACGGG